GAUGAACGCUGGCGGCGUGCCUAAUACAUGCAAGUCGAGCGAACGGACGAGAAGCUUGCUUCUCUGAUGUUAGCGGCGGACGGGUGAGUAACACGUGGAUAACCUACCUAUAAGACUGGGAUAACUUCGGGAAACCGGAGCUAAUACCGGAUAAUAUUUUGAACCGCAUGGUUCAAAAGUGAAAGACGGUCUUGCUGUCACUUAUAGAUGGAUCCGCGCUGCAUUAGCUAGUUGGUAAGGUAACGGCUUACCAAGGCAACGAUGCAUAGCCGACCUGAGAGGGUGAUCGGCCACACUGGAACUGAGACACGGUCCAGACUCCUACGGGAGGCAGCAGUAGGGAAUCUUCCGCAAUGGGCGAAAGCCUGACGGAGCAACGCCGCGUGAGUGAUGAAGGUCUUCGGAUCGUAAAACUCUGUUAUUAGGGAAGAACAUAUGUGUAAGUAACUGUGCACAUCUUGACGGUACCUAAUCAGAAAGCCACGGCUAACUACGUGCCAGCAGCCGCGGUAAUACGUAGGUGGCAAGCGUUAUCCGGAAUUAUUGGGCGUAAAGCGCGCGUAGGCGGUUUUUUAAGUCUGAUGUGAAAGCCCACGGCUCACCCGUGGAGGGUCAUUGGAAACUGGAAAACUUGAGUGCAGAAGAGGAAAGUGGAAUUCCAUGUGUAGCGGUGAAAUGCGCAGAGAUAUGGAGGAACACCAGUGGCGAAGGCGACUUUCUGGUCUGUAACUGACGCUGAUGUGCGAAGGCGUGGGGAUCAAACAGGAUUAGAUACCCUGGUAGUCCACGCCGUAAACGAUGAGUGCUAAGUGUUAGGGGGUUUCCGCCCCUUAGUGCUGCAGCUAACGCAUUAAGCACUCCGCCUGGGGAGUACGACCGCAAGGUUGAAACUCAAAGGAAUUGACGGGGACCCGCACAAGCGGUGGAGCAUGUGGUUUAAUUCGAAGCAACGCGAAGAACCUUACCAAAUCUUGACAUCCUUUGACAACUCUAGAGAUAGAGCUUUCCCCUUCGGGGGACAAAGUGACAGGUGGUGCAUGGUUGUCGUCAGCUCGUGUCGUGAGAUGUUGGGUUAAGUCCCGCAACGAGCGCAACCCUUAAGCUUAGUUGCCAUCAUUAAGUUGGGCACUCUAAGUUGACUGCCGGUGACAAACCGGAGGAAGGUGGGGAUGACGUCAAAUCAUCAUGCCCCUUAUGAUUUGGGCUACACACGUGCUACAAUGGACAAUACAAAGGGCAGCGAAACCGUGAGGUCAAGCAAAUCCCAUAAAGUUGUUCUCAGUUCGGAUUGUAGUCUGCAACUCGACUACAUGAAGCUGGAAUCGCUAGUAAUCGUAGAUCAGCAUGCUACGGUGAAUACGUUCCCGGGUCU
rnacentral:rRNA from 1 species